AUAGUGAAAGAACUUAACAUUUUGGCAAGGGCAUCAGAGAGUUGCUGGUAACUUUUGUACAUCCUCAAGUCCACUUUCCGGAGGAAAGUUGCACCGUCCAGGCUCACCUUAACAAAGGCGGCCUUCUCACCACCACGGCUGCCGUUCUUGACACUGUCG